rnacentral:rRNA from 1 species
UCAGUUCGGAUUGUAGGCUGCAACUCGCCUACAUGAAGUUGGAAUCGCUAGUAAUCGCGAAUCAGAAUGUCGCGGUGAAUACGUUCCCGGGUCUUGUACACACCGCCCGUCACACCAUGAGAGUUGGAGAUACCCGAAGCCUAUGAGCUAACUUUUAGAGGCAGUAGUCGAAGGUAGAANUCAAUGAUUGGGGUGAAGUCGUAACAAGGUACC